rnacentral:rRNA from 1 species
UACGUAGGGGGCGAGCGUUGUCCGGAGUUACUGGGCGUAAAGCGCACGCAGGCGGUCGUGUCAGUUUGGGGUUACAGCUCCCGGCUCAACCGGGAGAGCGCCUCGAAGACGGCAGGACUUGAGGGCCAAAGAGGGACACAGAAUUCCGGGUGUAGUGGUGAAAUGCGUAGAUAUCCGGAGGAAUACCAAAGGCGAAGGCAGUGUCCUGGUUGGUACCUGACGCUCAGGUGCGAAAGCUAGGGGAGCGAACGGGAUUAGAAACCCCGUAGUCC